rnacentral:rRNA from 1 species
CUACGUGCCAGCAGCCGCGGUAAUACGGAAGGUCCGGGCGUUAUCCGGAUUUAUUGGGUUUAAAGGGAGCGUAGGCCGGAGAUUAAGUGUGUUGUGAAAUGUAGACGCUCAACGUCUGACUUGCAGCGCAUACUGGUUUCCUUGAGUACGCACAACGUUGGCGGAAUUCGUCGUGUAGCGGUGAAAUGCUUAGAUAUGACGAAGAACUCCGAUUGCGAAGGCAGCUGACGGGAGCGCAACUGACGCUGAAGCUCGAAGGUGCGGGUAUCGAACAGGAUUAGAUACCCUGGUAGUCCACACAGUAAACGAUGUAUACUCGCGGUUUGCGAUAGACAGUAAGCCGCCAAGCGAAAGCAUUAAGUAUACCACCUGGGGAGUACGCCGGCAACGGUGAAACUCAAAGGAAUUGACGGGGGCCCGCACAAGCGGAGGAACAUGUGGUUUAAUUCGAUGAUACGCGAGGAACCUUACCCGGGCUUGAACUAACGGUGACGAAUCUAGAGAUAG